AUGAGAAGACAGAAAAACACACAGCAGAUAAAAGAGCAAGAUAAAAAUACACCAGACCUAACAAAUGAAGAGGAAAUAGGCAGUCUACCUGAAAAAGAAUUCAGAAUAAUGAUAGUAAGGAUGAUCUGAAAUCUUGGAAACAGAAUGGACAAAAUGCAAGAAACAGUUAACAAGGACCUAGAAGAAAUAAAGAUGAAACAAGCAAUGAUGAACAACACAAUAAAUGAAAUUAAAAGUACUCUAGAUGGGAUCAAUAGCAGAAUAACUGAGGCAGAAGAACGGAUAAGUGACCUGGAAGAUAAAAUAGUGGAAAUAACUACUGCAGAGCAGAAUAAAGAAAAAAAGAAUGAAAAGAA